ensembl:misc_RNA Gm56458 predicted gene, 27869
CUUCCAUUUUGUACAGGGCUCAGCAUCUCUGGGUUUUCAAUUCCUUGUGAGUCAUGGGCGGCUCCUCCGCUCUGGGCGGGAAGUCCUCACCUGGUUCUGGCCCACUACUCCAGGCCCU